rnacentral:rRNA from 1 species
CCUACGGGAGGCAGCAGUGGGGAAUAUUGCACAAUGGGCGCAAGCCUGAUGCAGCCAUGCCGCGUGUGUGAAGAAGGCCUUCGGGUUGUAAAGCACUUUCAGCGGGGAGGAAGGCGUUAAAGUUAAUAACCUUGGCGAUUGACGUUACCCGCAGAAGAAGCACCGGCUAACUCCGUGCCAGCAGCCGCGGUAAUACGGAGGGUGCAAGCGUUAAUCGGAAUUACUGGGCGUAAAGCGCACGCAGGCGGUCUGUCAAGUCGGAUGUGAAAUCCCCGGGCUCAACCUGGGAACUGCAUUCGAAACUGGCAGGCUAGAGUCUUGUAGAGGGGGGUAGAAUUCCAGGUGUAGCGGUGAAAUGCGUAGAGAUCUGGAGGAAUACCGGUGGCGAAGGCGGCCCCCUGGACAAAGACUGACGCUCAGGUGCGAAAGCGUGGGGAGCAAACAGGAUUAGAUACCCUAGUAGUC